rnacentral:lncRNA from 1 species
AUGCUCACUCCCUUCACAUCUGUAGGGGAAUCAUUACCAAUGGUUACCACGGCAGUUUUGACCAGGCAGGUCACGCUCGCACCUGGACAAGAAGUUGGUGACUUGGACCGAGGAUUCGACCCGUCGCCUGAGGUGCAAGUCUCAGACCAACAGGGGGGGAGGGGGGAUGGAAGAGAGGCCGACUCUGUGAGAGUUGGAGGUAUCGAUGGACCGGACAAACACUCCUCAUCCUCUGUGCCUGCAAGAAGUAAACCUCUGGUUAGCAGGACCCUGGCGUUAAACGGCACCAGGCCCAACAACGCAGAAAGGCUCACAUUGUCCAGGAAGCCAAACGUCCCAGGACCGUUCCGAUUCAACGCAUCCAGAGUUGUGCCUGGGGGGAGAAAAACUGGCACUGGCCCCUUGAAAAAGCCCUUAAUGGGGAGGAAACAGAACGCCCCGAUAGUGCCCAAAAAACCUAAACCAGGUGCCCCCAAAAAAGGAAACAGGACAAUAGAUUUGACUGUGAAAGUACCUAACACUGAAGCUUCAAUCGCUGAGAGGAGGGACGACAAAAGUCCGCCUGCUCUAACGUCUGGAACUGAUUCAGAAACACACAGACAGAAAAGCUCGGAGGAACCAAAAAGGCAACCAGAUGUUAGGGUGGCGGGCCAAGGAAACGACACUGCUCCAGUGUCUUCAGAGCCAACUGGGACUGUCCAACGCCCGGAGAAGAAAUGUCUGAACAAACUCAAAGUGACUCACAGCAGAUUACCCCAUAAGGACAGAGGCGGCGGAUGCGAAGGGGAGGGGACAGAUCGAUCCCCUCCUGAUCUGAACCCCUCGUCUGCAGAGACGGAACUCGACUAUUCACCAGAUCCUCUUCACAAACUCCUGACGGAAACUUUUGACAGUUUGAAUAUCACAACAUUUUCUGUUCACCUGUCCAAACCAUCAAACCUCUCUGUUGAUGCAAACGCAGUGAGGAAGCAGAUCUUAAGAGGACUGAAGCCGCUGACAUCAUUUUCGUCAUCCUCUUCAUCAUCCUCAUCGACCUCAAGAUCAUCACAUCCAACAGCCUCAUCAUCAUCAUCAUCAUCAGUUUCAUCCUUAUUGACUUCAGCAUCAGCUCCUCAAGUUUCAUCCUCAUCAACAGCAGCGAAAUCAUCAUCGUCACUACUAACAUUUUUAUUAUCGUCAUCACCACCAUCACUUACACAUUCAUCAUCACCACCAUCACUUACACAUUCAUCAUCAUCACUAUCACUUACACCUUCAUCAUCAUCACCAUUGUCUUCCAGCUUAAAUAAAUCUGAUUCAUUUGGAAGCGAUGAACUGGAUGUUGAUAAAAGCAAAAACGCAGCUGACACUGCAUCACCAGAAGAAACAACGCAAUCGCCCUCAGGAAAAUUUGGCAUCCGCGUUUUCCACCACACGCAUCCAAAACGUGGUUUCAUACGUCGUCCACGGCCAAACUUAGGUUUGUUUCAGAACAAGACCCGUCUAAAUUUGAGAGGUCCUCAACGCUCCCCAUCUCAUUUAAACAUUAUCCCUACAAAAGAGACAGAGACCAGACAUUCAUCCCCAGAUGAAUCACCGCCUUCAUCUGAUUUGGAGGAAGUUAAGAUAAACACACCAGUCAGGGAUGCGAGUAGAGACGAGGAUGGGGCAGCUAAGCCUGCAUCCUCUGGACAAGACCAGAAACCGAUGCAGACAGAAAGAGGACGAACUCCAGUUCGCCAUCCUCCUCCAAAAGGUGGAUAUGUGCGUCGCCCUUUUCCAAACAUGGGAUUUCUUCAGAACAAAACUCCUCCUAAUUCAAGGCUCUUGACUCGCCCCGCUCGACCUUUAAAUCCUGACAUAGAAACACAGAAAGAGCAGAUAUCCCAAACUGAAUCACCAGCCACUCCAUCUCCUCUUGUUUCCAAAGAAUCCUAUCCCGCUGAAGGUAGAGAGCCAAAAGGAGACAGAGCUGGGAUGAGGAUCUCCACAAUAAGGAUGUCCAAUGGUUUGAAUCAGACUCUCAGAGAGCCUUUCUCCCAUCGCCCAAUGCCCAGAGUUCCUUAUUACCAUCGCCCCCAGGUGUAUGGUGGACCUCUCCAAAACAAAACACGUCCAAACCUGAGACCACCUCAAUAUCCACGUAGAGGUCUCAUUCGCAAACCUUUCCCAAUUAGAAAGCUAAAUGGAGACACUGUUGGAAGUCAAACUAGCCAACGAGAAAUCAAGGGUACACCUGACACCCCGCAAAGCCAGUCAGGAGUGGAGGAUGUCCCCAGGCCUACCCGAGGAAUCGGAGCCCAAAUAAGACAAGAGGGAGAACUAGAAACUGCAGAAGUAAUUCCAAGUGCCCAGAUGGAAGGACAUGGAACUGCUGUCACACCACAAAUUAACAAAUUAGAAAUGGAAGAAAAUGCUCCAGUCCAAACCACAAAAUCUGGGGAAGAAGAAACCAUCACCCCUGUUUCUAAUAAUGACUUUGACAUUCACAGACAGAGAGUCGAUGCUCCUAAAAAUCCUGCCCCUGCGGUUCGCGGUAGACCAAAUACCCAACAAACUUCCUUUGAUUCAAGAGCCUCAAGACCAGCCACAAUUCCAAAACGACAACCACCCUCAAGAAAUAUAACAGGACAACAUGGCACCCAGAUGGGACACUUCAGCGGUGGGAGCCAAAGGGGAGAGGAUCCAAAAACAAAUCAUACUGUAAAACCGUUUUUUGACAGUAAAACUGGACAAACGAGAGGUGCUGCUUCCAAACCUUUGAUGGGAUCAGAUGUUUCUUCAUCCGGAGUCACAAGAGAACAGCUGGACUACGUUGGAGUGACGAACCGGACCUCGGAUGGUUUUACGCUCAUAUGGGACUCGCCGGAAGGAAAGUACAAAAACUUUGUUGUUACUAGGAAACAAGUUGGAAAGGAUGCGAGACCAAAGCAACAAGAAAACCCGAAAAACCAAGAAAGACGCCGGGACGACUCUGAGAGAGAGGAUGGACAUGAAGAGCAGGAUGGGAAGCAUCGACCAACUGAGGAACCUGAAUCGGAAGCCGGGAGCACUGAAAGUGUGGUUACACAUAUUCCGAUGAAGCACAGCAGCACAACAGUGAAACCGUCAACAGGAGGCGUUAAAACCUUCAAAGAAGUUCUUCCUGGUUCAGCUCGCUCCCUCCACUUUGAGGAUCUGCCUCCUCGGACCGAGUACACCGUGACCUUGCUUGGAAAAGGUCCUGGCCUCCUGUCGAGACUCCACAAGCUUGUCAUCAGUACAGGUACAAGCCAUUGUGGCAGUAGAACACAAACUACUACUGUACAAUGCAACAACAUUACUGUUAUGUUGUGA